rnacentral:rRNA from 1 species
CCUACGGGAGGCAGCAGUGAGGAAUAUUGGUCAAUGGGCGCAAGCCUGAACCAGCCAAGUCGCGUGAGGGAGGACGGCCCUACGGGUUGUAAACCUCUUUUGCCGGGGAGCAACGGGCGUCACGUGUGGCGCCACUGAGAGUACCCGGAGAAAAAGCAUCGGCUAACUCCGUGCCAGCAGCCGCGGUACUACGGAGGUUGCGAGCGUUAUCGGGAUUUAUUGGGUUAAAGGGGUGCGUAGGCGGAUCGUUAAGUCAGUGGUCAAAUUGGGGGGUUAAACCCCUUCCCGCCAUUGAAACUGGCGUUCUUGAGUGGAAGAGAAGUAGGCGGAAUGCGGGGUGUAGCGGUGAAAUGCAUAGAUAUCACGCAGAACCCCGAUUGCGAAGGCAGCAUGCCGGCUUCCGACUGACACUGAGGCACGAAAGCGUGGGGAGCAAACAGGAUUAGAUACCCCAGUAGUC